AUUUAUAUAGUAUAAUAAAUUACAUUUAACUUCCAAUUAAAAAAUUUAGAUCAUUACUAAUAUAAAUA
rnacentral:tRNA from 1 species